GAUUUUAGCUGAGUGGUAGAGCAUCUGGUUUGCGUUCAGAAGGCCCCAGAUUCAAUUCCCAGCAUCUCCA